rnacentral:precursor_RNA from 1 species
CGAGUGAGGACUGAAAAGGGAAAAAAAAAAAACUAGACAAAACUAUACCAUGACUUCAGCCGGUGCUGAGGCUGAAGCAGCUUUAUUCUUUCCCAGUCUGCUUUUAUAUCAUUCUGGGUACAUCCAAAAAACCUGGUCAGUUCUUAGAUCAAAGACAGAGUAAUCAAGGCGAAGUAGUAAAAGAUCACACAAGGUAGUUAGAUUGCAAAGUAGUAAGCGGAACCCCACGGUCACUCUUUCUAAUAUUCUUAUCGGAGCCUACUUCCUUGUCUGAGCCCAGUGACAAAUGCCAAAUUCCUAGAAGCAGCCCCCAAAGCUCUCAACGACUGAGGGAAACUUUUUCAAAAGCUUUUGUUACUGGCCUGAACAGAUUAGAAAUUAUGUGGGAGAAGUGACUUGAUUAUAACAGAAGAGAUGCUAGGAUCUUAGUAUUCAAGCUUAUCUGUAGAUAAGUUUUCUUCUGAUCUAUCAUAAUUGAAUAUGUGAUGGUUCUAGUGGUUCUUCAACUCUAAAACUAGGUUUUAAAAAAUAAUUUAUAUUUUAGGUGCAUUAGUGUUUUGCCUGCGUGCAUGUCUGUGUGAAGGUGUGGGAUCCCCUGAAACUGGAGUUACAGGCAGCUGUGAACUGCCAUGCUGGGAAUUGAUCCUGGGACCUCUGGAAGAGCAGUCAGUGCUCUUAACAGCUGAGCCAUCUCCCCAGCCCUAAAACUAAUUUAUUAAACUUUACUUUCUUUGAAGAGAGGAUGUCAUAAGUAAGCUUAUUAUAGCUUAGUUGAUAAUGUUUAUAUGGAGCUCAGACCUUUGGUUCGAGCACCCUGGAUGCCAGGUCAGGAGACCCUGUCUCCAAACAAACAAACAAAACUGACAGCAUCCUUUCCAUCUUCUUGUGUUACACAGAACUGUUCAGUUUAUAGCCACUGGCAUUUUAGGCUUAAUAAAAUGUGGAGCAAUUAAAAAACUUGUCCUCAGUUACUUCGUUGUAAUUGUAAUGAGUGAGUUUUACCAAUCUGCCUUCAUGCUCUUGAAGUUUGUUACUAAGAAGAGCUGAUGAGGAGUGAGGGUCGCCCUUAUAUAAAUGAAAAUUAGCAAAGUAUUUGUUUUGCAAACUUUAAUGAAUGAUUAAAUGGUGGUGUACUUUUUGGAAAUUAUACAUGAUAAUUGUUAAUUUUUAUAAUCAAAAAGUGGGUUUAUAAAUCCUUUAUAGUCAGCUUUUCAAAUUAAAAUGACUAGAAUGAAUUGCUUCCUGUUUUCCCCUGUAUAUGAUAUUGUUAACAUGGUAUAAUUGAUUUUUCAAUACAUCUUAAUCAGUCAUAAAAUGAAAUCAUCUCAACAUAUCUUUCUCUAAAAUUGCCUGACAUUCACCUUUUGUUAUCCUGCUUUCCUGGAGACUUCUGUGCGCUAAUCUGCUUUCACUGAUGUUUUAUGGGCUUAGGGAUCAACCUCAUAAAAUUCUUUUCAACAUCAAAAAAAUUCAAUUUGUCUUGGAAGGUAAUGAAAUUUUCUCAAUGAGUCUGGAGGAGGGCUGGUCCAUUACUUGUCAUAUAAUGAACCCAUUACUCAUAUAAAAUAAAAUCAGAGUGCAAAAUGUAAAAAAAAAAAAAAAAAAAAAAAAAA